rnacentral:rRNA from 1 species
CCCUUAGAUGUCCGGGGCCGCACACGCGCUACACUGAAGGAAUCAGCGUGGCUUUCUCCCUGACCCGAAAGGGUUGGGAAACCCGUUGAAUCUCCUUCGUGAUAGGGAUUGGGGCUUGAAAUUGUUCCCCAUGAACGAGGAAUUCCCAGUAAGCGCGAGUCAUAAGCUCGCGUUGAUUACGUCCCUGCCCUUUGUACACACCGCCCGUCGCUACUACCGAUUGAACGGUUUAGUGAGGGCCUCGGAUUGGUCUCGGCCCGCUCUUUACCGGGCGGCGCCGUUGGUCGAGAAGACGCUCGAACUUGAUCGUUUAGAGGAAGUAAAAGUCGUAACA